GGAGGGGUGGCUGAGUGGUCUAAAGCAGCGGUCUUGAAAACCGCCGGCCGUUCACGCGGCCCGUGGGUUCGAAUCCCACCCCCUCCGCCA
rnacentral:tRNA from 1 species